rnacentral:rRNA from 1 species
AUACGAAGGGGGCUAGCGUUGUUCGGAAUCACUGGGCGUAAAGCGCGCGUAGGUGGAUCAAUUAGUUGAGGGUGAAAUCCCGGGGCUCAGCCUCGGAACUGCCUUCAAUACUGUUGAUCUUGAGACCGAGAGAGGUGAGUGGAAUUCCUAGUGUAGAGGUGAAAUUCGUAGAUAUUAGGAAGAACACCAGUGGCGAAGGCGGCUCACUGGCUCGGUACUGACGCUGAGGUGCGAAAGCGUGGGGAGCAAACAGGAUUAGAAACCCUAGUAGUCC